rnacentral:rRNA from 1 species
GUCCACGCUGUAAACGAUGAGUACUAGGUGUCGGGGGUAUCGACCCCCUCGGUGCCGCAGCUAACGCGAUAAGUACUCCGCCUGGGGACUACGGCCGCAAGGCUAAAACUCAAAGGAAUUGACGGGGGCCCGCACAAGCAGCGGAGCGUGUGGUUUAAUUCGACGCAACGCGAAGAACCUUACCUGGGCUUGACAUGCGUGUGGUACGACUGGGAAACCAGAAGGACCCGCAAGGGAGCACGCACAGAUGCUGCAUGGCUGUCGU